UAUNGCACAAUGGAGGAAACCCUGAUGCAGGNACGCCGCGUGAGGGAAGACGGUCUUCGGUUUGUAAAUCUCUGUCUUUGGGGAAGAAAAUGACGGUACCCAAAGAGGAAGCCCCGGCUAACUACGUGCCAGCAGCCGCGGUAAUACGUAGGGAGCGAGCGUUGUCCGGAAUUACUGGGUGUAAAGGGAGCGUAGGCGGGUGAGAAAGUUGAAUGUUAAAUCUACCGGCUUAACUGGUAGCUGCGUUCAAAACUUCUUGUCUUGAGUGAAGUAGAGGCAGGCGGAAUUCCUAGUGUAGCGGUGAAAUGCGUAGAUAUUAGGAGGAACACCAGUGGCGAAGGCGGCCUGCUGGGCUUUAACUGACGCUGAGGCUCGAAAGCGUGGGGAGCAAACAGG
rnacentral:rRNA from 1 species